UGUUUAAAACUAUCAGUCAGGAAAAACAAACUCAUUUGAACACAGCUUGAGUCUUCAUAUAUAAAAUGAUGGCAGUACUUUUAAUAUGUUCAUGGUGAUACAGGUUAACUUUGAGGUUCAUGCAGAUGGUGUUUAAAACUAUCAGUCAGGAAAAACAAACUCAUUUGAACACAGCUUGAGUCUUCAUAUAUAAAAUGAUGGCAGUACUUUUAAUAUGUUCAUGGUGAUACAGGUUAACUUUGAGGUUCAUGCAGAUGGUGUUUAAAACUAUCAGUCAGGAAAAACAAACUCAUUUGAACACAGCUUGAGUCUUCAUAUAUAAAAUGAUGGCAGUACUUUUAAUAUGUUCAUGGUGAUACAGGUUAACUUUGAGGUUCAUGCAGAUGGUGUUUAAAACUAUCAGUCAGGAAAAACAAACUCAUUUGAACACAGCUUGAGUCUUCAUAUAUAAAAUGAUGGCAGUACUUUUAAUAUGUUCAUGGUGAUACAGGUUAACUUUGAGGUUCAUGCAGAUGGUGUUUAAAACUAUCAGUCAGGAAAAACAAACUCAUUUGAACACAGCUUGAGUCUUCAUAUAUAAAAUGAUGGCAGUACUUUUAAUAUGUUCAUGGUGAUACAGGUUAACUUUGAGGUUCAUGCAGAUGGUGUUUAAAACUAUCAGUCAGGAAAAACAAACUCAUUUGAACACAGCUUGAGUCUUCAUAUAUAAAAUGAUGGCAGUACUUUUAAUAUAGGUUAACGCAGACAGACGCAUUUUGCCGGAAAACGAAUCUGACAUGCCACCUCGAGAUUUUAACCAAGAAAAGACAACUUGAUGUGCUUUGAUUUGAGGGGUCACUCAAUGCUGAACGAAAAUUAGGGACAUUGCUAUGUGAAGAAAUGUUAACAUUGCCGCCUAUGG